AGUGAACGCUGGCGGCGUGCCUAAUACAUGCAAGUCGAACGGAAUUUAAAAGAGCUUGCUCUUUUAAAUUUAGUGGCGCACGGGUGAGUAAUAUAUAGCUAAUCUGCCCCUUGCUGGAGGACAACAGUUAGAAAUGACUGCUAAUACUCCAUACUCCUUUUUACCAUAAGAUAAAUCGGGAAAGAGUUUCGGCAAGGGAUGAGACUAUAUCGUAUCAGCUAGUCGGUGGGGUAACGGCCUACCGAGGCUAUGACGCGUAACUGGUCUGAGAGGAUGAUCAGUCACAUUGGAACUGAGACACGGUCCAAACUCCUACGGGAGGCAGCAGUAGGGAAUAUUGCGCAAUGGGGGAAACCCUGACGCAGCAACGCCGCGUGGAGGAUGACACUUUUCGGAGCGUAAACUCCUUUUGUUAGGGAAGAAUAAGACG
rnacentral:rRNA from 1 species